rnacentral:rRNA from 1 species
UACGUAGGUGGCAAGCGUUGUCCGGAUUUAUUGGGUUUAAAGGGUGCGUAGGCGGCCCUGUAAGUCAGUGCUGAAAUAUCCCGGCUUAACCGGGAGGGUGGCAUUGAUACUGCGGGGCUAGAGUACAGAUGAGGUAGGCGGAAUUGACGGUGUAGCGGUGAAAUGCUUAGAUAUCGUCAAGAACACCUAUAGCGAAGGCAGCUUACUAGGCUGUAACUGACGCUGAGGCACGAAAGUGUGGGGAUCAAACAGGAUUAGAUACCCUGGUAGUCCACACUGUAAACGUUGAUUACUCGCUGUGUGCGAUAUACAGUACGCGGCCAAGCGAAAGCGCUAAGUAAUCCACCUGGGGAGUACGCCGGCAACGGUGAA